ACUCAAAUGAAUAGACGGGGGCUCACACAAGCGGUGGAGCAUGUGGCUUAAUUCGAAGCAACGCGAAGAACCUGACCCAGGUUUGACAUGCUAGGAUUAGUCUCCUGAAAGGGAGAUGACGCGGCUUGCCGUGGAACUAGUACAGGUGCUGCAUGGCUGUCGUCAGCUCGUGUCGUGAGACGUCGGGUUAAGUCCCAUAACGAGCGAAACCCUUGUCGUUAGUUGCCAGCGGGUCAAGCCGGGCACUCUAACGAGACUGCCGGUGUUAAACCGGAGGAAGGCGAGGACGACGUCAAGUCAUCAUGGCCCUUAUGCCUGGGGUUGCACACGUGCUACAAUGGGGUGUUACAGAGCGAUCCGAGGCCGCGAGGUGGAGGAAAUCGCAGAAAACACCCCCCAGUUCAGAUUGCAGGCUGCAACCCGCCUGCAUGAAGUUGGAAUCGCUAGUAAUCGCGCAUCAGCUAUGGCGCGGUGAAUAUGUUCCUGAGCCUUGCACACACCGCCCGU
rnacentral:rRNA from 1 species